CUACGCAAUUAUCAUACCGGACAGUAUUGGAUGUGUCCCAAUACUGUCCGGUAUAGAAAUUGCUUGG
rnacentral:pre_miRNA from 1 species